rnacentral:rRNA from 1 species
GACGAACGCUGGCGGCGUGCUUAAUACAUGCAAGUUGAGCGCUGAAGGUUGGUACUUGUACCGCCUGGAUGAGCAGCGAACGGGUGAGUAACGCGUGGGGCAUCUGCCUUUGAGCGGGGGACAACAUUUGGAAACGAAUGCUAAUACUGCAUAAACACUUUAAACACAAGUUUUAAGUUUGAAAGAUGCAAUUGCAUCACUCAAAGAUGAUCCCGCGUUGUUUUAGCUAGUUGGUGUGGUAAAGGCUCAACAAGGCGAUGGUACAUAGCCGACCUGAGAGGGUGUACGGCCACAGUGAGACUGAGACGCCGCACAAAGUCCGACAGGAGGCAGCAGUACGGAAGCGUGGGAGAUGUGCGAAAGACUGACCGAGCAACGGCGGGUGAGUGAAGAAGGUUCGCGGAUGGGAAAACGCUGUUGGUGUAGAAGAACGCUGGUAAGAGUGGAAAGCUCAUCAAGUGACGGUAGCAAUACAGAAAGGAACGGCUAACUACGUG